UUAAGUGUGCUUACCAUGCAGUCGAACGGUGAAGCCAAGCUUUGGAUCAGUGGCGAACGGGUGAGUAACACGUGAGCAACCUGCCCUGGACUCUGGGAUAAGCGCUGGAAACGGCGUCUAAUACUGGAUAUGAGCUCUCAUCGCAUGGUGGGGGUUGGAAAGAUUUUUCGGUCUGGGAUGGGCUCGCGGCCUAUCAGCUUGUUGGUGAGGUACUCACCAAGGCGUCGACGGGUAGCCGGCCUGAGAGGGUGACCGGCCACACUGGGACUGAGACACGGCCCAGACUCCUACGGGAGGCAGCAGUGGGGAAUAUUGCACAAUGGGCGGAAGCCUGAUGCAGCAACGCCGCGUGAGGGAUGACGGCCUUCGGGUUGUAUUUAGCAGGGAAGAAGCGAGAGUGACGGUACCUGCAGAAAAAGCGCCGGCUAACUACGUGCCAGCAGCCGCGGUAAUACGUAGGGCGCAAGCGUUAUCCGGAAUUAUUGGGCGUAAAGAGCUCGUAGGCGGUUUGUCGCGUCUGCUGUGAAAUCCCGAGGCUCAACGCCUGCAGUGGGUACGGGCAGACUAGAGUGCGGUAGGGGAGAUUGGAAUUCCUGGUGUAGCGGUGGAAUGCGCAGAUAUCAGGAGGAACACCGAUGGCGAAGGCAGAUCUCUGGGCCGUAACUGACGCUGAGGAGCGAAAGGGUGGGGAGCAAACAGGCUUAGAUACUAGUCCACCCCGUAAACGUUGGGAACUAGUUGUGGGGACCAUUCCACGGUUUCCGUGACGCAGCUAACGCAUUAAGUUCCCCGCCUGGGGAGUACGGCCGCAAGGCUAAAACUCAAAGGAAUUGACGGGGACCCGCACAAGCGGCGGAGCAUGCGGAUUAAUUCGAUGGCGAAGAACCUUACCAAGGCUUGACAUACACCAGAACACCGUAGAAAUACGGGACUCUUUGGACACUGGUGAACAGGUGGUGCAUGGUUGCCGUCACCUCCGGGCCUGAGAUGUUGGGUUA
rnacentral:rRNA from 1 species